UAGAGGAUAGUAUAAGGUGGUAGUACAUAAAGUUUUGGGCUUUGUGGUAUAGGUUCGUGGCCUGUUCUUCUA
rnacentral:tRNA from 1 species